GGCUGGAAUGAAAGGUUGGACGUGGGGAAUCUGUCUCCUAGCAGAUAAUGAAAAUUAACUUUUGAGUGAGGAGGCUCAAAUUUCAUCGUAGGACAAAAAGACCCUGUCGAACUUUAGUAAAAUUAUAAAUAUACCGAGUUAUUUUAUUUUUACUUCUGUUGGGGCAACAGGGGUUGAAAUUAAAGGCCACCCCCAAUUUAAGUUUAAGAGAAUAGGAUUCUCCGCUAAUAGCGAGUUAUAAAGUUACCGCAGGGAUAACAGCGUAAUCCUCCUUGAAAGAUCGUAUUUAGAGGGGGGUUUGCGACCUCGAUGUUGGACUAAGGGCCCCAC
rnacentral:rRNA from 1 species